rnacentral:rRNA from 1 species
ACGAACGCUGGCGGCGUGCUUCACACAUGCAAGUCGCACGGUAAGGCUCCAGCUUGCUGGGGUACACGAGUGGCGAACGGGUGAGUAACACGUGGGUGACCUGCCCUGCACUUCGGGAUAAGCCUGGGAAACUGGGUCUAAUACCGGAUAGGACCGCACCGUGAGGGUGUGGUGGAAAGUUUUUUCGGUGUGGGAUGGGCCCGCGGCCUAUCAGCUUGUUGGUGGGGUAAUGGCCUACCAAGGCGGCGACGGGUAGCCGGCCUGAGAGGGUGGACGGCCACAUUGGGACUGAGACACGGCCCAGACUCCUACGGGAGGCAGCAGUGGGGAAUAUUGCACAAUGGGCGGAAGCCUGAUGCAGCGACGCCGCGUGGGGGAUGACGGCCUUCGGGUUGUAAACUCCUUUCACCAUCGACGAAGGGUUUCUGACGGUAGAUGGAGAAGAAGCACCGGCUAACUACGUG